rnacentral:rRNA from 1 species
AUGCUCCGUCCUCUAUCCGCCUCAGUCAUCUCCCUCUCAUUCUCUCUCUGCUCCGUGUGUGUGUGCAGGGAGUGGGAGGAGAUAGAGCAGGGGCGUGGGAGGCCCUUCCACGGUGAAUGCAUAUGCAUCUUCCAUGGAGAUUUACAGAGAAGCUUCAGUAUGAGAAAAAAUGGGUCAUUAGUUCAUCCAUAUGCAACCUCCCGCGUGGUCAUCCAUUUUUAUUUGGAGCCUACUCACUACAAAGCACAAAAGAGGUUGGUGCUCACCUUCUUUGAGACCGCCGCCCACUCCCACAUUUACAGGCUCUACGACAAGACCUACUGCCUCGGCACCGCCACCGAUUGUGGAGUUUGA